rnacentral:rRNA from 1 species
CCUACGGGGCGCAGCAGUGGGGAAUAUUGCACAAUGGGCGCAAGCCUGAUGCAGCCAUGCCGCGUGUGUGAAGAAGGCCUUCGGGUUGUAAAGCACUUUCAGCGGGGAGGAAGGCGGUGAGGUUAAUAACCUCAUCGAUUGACGUUACCCGCAGAAGAAGCACCGGCUAACUCCGUGCCAGCAGCCGCGGUAAUACGGAGGGUGCAAGCGUUGAUCGGAAUUACUGGGCGUAAAGCGCACGCAGGCGGUCUGUCAAGUCGGAUGUGAAAUCCCCGGGCUCAACCUGGGAACUGCAUUCGAAACGGGCAGGCUAGAGUCUUGUAGAGGGGGGUAGAAUUCCAGGUGUAGCGGUGAAAUGCGUAGAGAUCUGGAGGAAUACCGGUGGCGAAGGCGGCCCCCUGGACAAAGACUGACGCUCAGGUGCGAAAGCGUGGGGAGCAAACAGGAGUAGAUACCCGAGUAGUC